AUUUUUACAGUGUUGUCUAUGAUUAUAGUGAAGUCGUAACAAGGUAGCUGUAGGGGAACCUGUAGCUGGAUAGACUCCUU
rnacentral:rRNA from 14 species